UACAGAGGGGGCAAGCGUUGUUCGGAAUUACUGGGCGUAAAGGGCGCGUAGGCGGCCUGUUAAGUCGAACGUGAAAUCCCCGAGCUCAACUCGGGAACUGCGUCCGAUACUGGCGGGCUUGAAUCCGGGAGAGGGAUGCGGAAUUCCAGGUGUAGCGGUGAAAUGCGUAGAUAUCUGGAGGAACACCGGUGGCGAAGGCGGCAUCCUGGACCGGCAUUGACGCUGAGGCGCGAAAGCCAGGGGAGCAAACGGG
rnacentral:rRNA from 1 species